GUGACUGCGUACCUUUUGUAUAAUGGGUCAGCGACUUAUAUUCUGUAGCAAGGUUAACCGAAUAGGGGAGCCGGAGGGAAACCGAGUCUUAAUUGGGCGUUAAGUUGCAGGGUAUAGACCCGAAACCCGGUGAUCUAGCCAUGGGCAGGUUGAAGGUUGGGUAACACUAACUGGAGGACCGAACCGACUAAUGUUGAAAAAUUAGCGGAUGACCUGUGGCUGGGGGUGAAAGGCCAAUCAAACCGGGAGAUAGCUGGUUCUCCCCGAAAGCUAUUUAGGUAGCGCCUCGUGAAUUCAUCUCCGGGGGUAGAGCACUGUUUCGGCUAGGGGGCCAUCCCGGCUUACCAACCCGAUGCAAACUGCGAAUACCGGAGAAUGUUAUCACGGGAGACACACGGCGGGUGCUAACGUCCGUCGUGAAGAGGGAAACAACCCAGACCGCCAGCUAAGGUCCCAAAGUCAUGGUUAAGUGGGAAACGAUGUGGGAAGGCCCAGACAGCCAGGAUGUUGGCUUAGAAGCAGCCAUCAUUUAAAGAAAGCGUAAUAGCUCACUGGUCGAGUCGGCCUGCGCGGAAGAUGUAACGGGGCUAAACCAUGCACCGAAGCUGCGGCAGCGACGCUGAUGCGUUGUUGGGUAGGGGAGCGUUCUGUAAGCCUGCGAAGGUGGCCUGUGAGGGUUGCUGGAGGUAUCAGAAGUGCGAAUGCUGACAUAAGUAACGAUAAAGCGGGUGAAAAGCCCGCUCGCCGGAAGACCAAGGGUUCCUGUCCAACGUUAAUCGGGGCAGGGUGAGUCGACCCCUAAGGCGAGGCCGAAAGGCGUAGUCGAUGGGAAACGGGUUAAUAUUCCCGUACUUGGUGUUACUGCGAAGGGGGGACGGAGAAGGCUAUGUUGGCCGGGCGACGGUUGUCCCGGUUUAAGCGUGUAGGUGUGUGUUCCAGGUAAAUCCGGUU
rnacentral:rRNA from 1 species